rnacentral:rRNA from 1 species
AGUGAACGCUGGCGGUAGGCCUAACACAUGCCAGUCGAACGGCAGCACAGUAAGAGCUUGCUCUUACGGGUGGCGAGUGGCGGACGGGUGAGGAAUACAUCGGAAUCUACUUUUUCGUGGGGGAUAACGUAGGGAAACUUACGCUAAUACCGCAUACGACCUACGGGUGAAAGCAGGGGAUCUUCGGACCUUGCGCGAUUGAAUGAGCCGAUGUCGGAUUAGCUAGUUGGCGGGGUAAAGGCCCACCAAGGCGACGAUCCGUAGCUGGUCUGAGAGGAUGAUCAGCCACACUGGAACUGAGACACGGUCCAGACUCCUACGGGAGGCAGCAGUGGGGAAUAUUGGACAAUGGGCGCAAGCCUGAUCCAGCCAUACCGCGUGGGUGAAGAAGGCCUUCGGGUUGUAAAGCCCUUUUGUUGGGAAAGAAAAGCAGCAGGUUAAUACCCCGCUGUUCUGACGGUACCCAAAGAAUAAGCACCGGUUAACUUCGUG